rnacentral:tRNA from 1 species
GGGGCUAUAGCUCAGCUGGGAGAGCGCUUGCAUGGCAUGCAAGGGGUCGACGGUUCGAUCCCGUCUAGCUCCACCA